AACGUAGGAGACAAACGUUAUCCGGAGUUACUGGGCGUAAAGGGCGUGUAGGUGGUUUCGUAAGUCUGGCGUGAAAUAUCUCGGCUUAACCGAGGCAGGUCGUCGGAUACUGCGGGACUAGAGGACGGUAGAGGCGUGUGGAAUUCCGGGUGUAGUGGUGAAAUGCGUAGAGAUCCGGAGGAACACCAGUGGCGAAGGCGGUGAGCUGGGCAGUAGCUGACACUGAGGCGCGACAGCGUGGGGAGCAAACAGG
rnacentral:rRNA from 1 species